rnacentral:misc_RNA from 1 species
AUUUCCAAGUUCUUUCGAACCAAUCAGGCUCAUCUUUAGAAGCCUAAUUGCAAUGAAUACAACAUUGAAUUUCUCAAGUAUUUAUUUGAAACUGAGAAUUGCUUGCAGAUGAGCCUGAUCAGUUCAAAAGUACUGGGCAUUAGAAGAAUAAUUUUUUCUCAGGUUUGUGUCCAAAAAGUAGUUUGUUACUCUAACUUACAUACUUUAUAUAAUUUUUUUUAUUUAAAGUUUAAUAACUGAAUUAUAAAGAAUUAUUGAUUAAAAAAAAUAUAUGUAUUGUAUACUAUGUAGAAAGAACAAUUACCUGUUGACCAUGAAUCACAUGAUGAUAUAGAUGAGGAGAAACCAGUUAUAGUUGUUUUGAAGCCAGGUGAUCUAUCAGAAGAGCAAGUGAAAGAAUAUCAACAAGUCAACAAGCAAAGUGCUGAUACAGAUGAAAAAAUUUUAUUUCGUAAGCCUGAGAAACGUACAAUAAAUGAAAAUAAUCAAUUAGAUUGUUCUACUAAAAAGAUAAAAGAAAGUAAACCUAAUAAAAAGUCAGUGGAUAAAUCAAAACAAGUGAAAAAUUCUAGUUUACUUUCUUUUGAUGAUGAUGAUGAUGAUGAUGAAGAAGGAGAAUAAUAAGCUUUAGACGCACGAGAUAUGUUGGAUGGAUUAUCAAGAGCAUAUCCUCCUAAUACUAAAGAUUAAGAUUGUGAUGAAGUAAUUUAAAGAUUUUCAGCUGCAAAGACCUAAAAAAAUUCAUCUGUGAAGUUAUUUUUUGUAAUGCAUUAAUUUUAUUUAUCAUUUCAAAUUUUAGCCUGAAAUUGACAAAAUG